UACAGAGACUGCAAGCGUUAUUCGGAUUCACUGGGCGUAAAGGGUGCGCAGGCGGCCGUGUGUGUCAGGUGUGAAAUCUCGGAGCUUAACUCCGAAACUGCAUUGGAAACUGUCCUGCUAGAGGGUUGGAGGGGGGACUGGAAUACUUGGUGUAGCAGUGAAAUGCGUAGAUAUCAAGUGGAACACCGGUGGCGAAGGCGAGUCCCUGGACAACACCUGACACUGAGGCACGAAAGCUAGGGGAGCAAACAGG
rnacentral:rRNA from 1 species